GCAAGGUUAAGCACUUCAGGUGCGGAGCCGUAGGGAAACCAAGUCUUAAGAGGGCGUUUUAGUCAGUACGUGCAGGCCCGAAACCGGGUGACCUAUCCAUGUCCAGGUUGAAGCCGCCGUAAAAGGCGAUGGAGGACCGAACCCACAUCCGUUGAAAAGGGUGGGGAUGAGGUGUGGAUAGCGGAGAAAUUCCAAUCGAACCCGGAGAUAGCUGGUUCUCCUCGAAAUAGCUUUAGGGCUAGCCUCAUACAAGUCUUGCGGAGGUAGAGCACUGAAUUUCCUAGGGGGCGUCAAAGCUUACCGAAGAAUAUCAAACUCCGAAUGCCGUGUAGAUGUUGUAUGGGAGUCAGACUGUACGAGAUAAGUUGGACAGUCAAAAGGGAAAGAGCCCAGACCGCCGGCUAAGGUCCCAAAGUGGGUGUUAAGUGGAAAAGGAUGUGGGAUCUCUAAGACAACCAGGAUGUUGGCUCAGAAGCAGCCAUUCAUUAAAAGAGUGCGUAACAGCUCACUGGUCGAGAGGUCCUGCGCCGAAAAUGUCCGGGGCUGAAACACCACACCGAAGCCGCGGAACCCGUAAGGGUUGGUAGAGGAGCAUUCUUAGGGGAGCGAAGCAUUACCGGAAGGGGAUGUGGACUGCUAAGAAGAGAGAAUGCCGGAAUGAGUAGCGAGAGCAAGGUGAGAAUCCUUGCGGCCGAAUAUCCAAGGUUUCCAGAGUAAAGCUGAUCUGCUCUGGGUAAGUCGGGGCCUAAGGAGAGGCAGAGAUGCGUAUCCGAUGGACAGCAGGUUUAAGAUUCCUGCACCCCUUGUUAUCAGAACUGCGGGGACACGGGAAGGGAAGCAGAGCCGGGAAUGGAAAGCCCGGUGCAAGCGAAGGAGUCGCAGGGUUGGAAAAUCCGCCCUGCAUGAGACGAAGGCGUGAUGCGGAGCGAAAUGAAGUAGUGAAGCUGCGGCCCCUUCCUGUCGAGAAAAGCCGCUAUCGUGUAGCAAGGGCCCGUACCGUAAACCGACACAGGUGGAUGAGGAGAGGAUCCUAAGGCCGGCGGGAGAAGUGUUGUUAAGGAACUCGGCAAAAUGACUCCGUAACUUCGGGAGAAGGAGUGCUGCGCAAGCAGCCGCAGAGAAAUGGCCCAAGCAACUGUUUAGCAAAAACACAGGUCUAUGCGAAACCGAAAGGUGAGGUAUAUGGGCUGACGCCUGCCCGGUGCUGGAAGGUUAAGGGGAGAGGUUAGCCGCAAGGCGAAGCUUUGAACUUAAGCCCCAGUAAACGGCGGCCGUAACUAUAACGGUCCUAAGGUAGCGAAAUUCCUUGUCGGGUAAGUUCCGACCCGCACGAAAGGCGUAAUGAUUUGAGCGCUGUCUCGACAAUGCAUCCGGUGAAAUUGAAGUACCAGUGAAGAUGCUGGUUACCCGCGCCAGGACGGAAAGACCCCAUGGAGCUUUACUCCAGCCUGAUACUGGGAUUCGGUAUUGCAUGUACAGGAUAGGUGGGAGGCUAAGAACUCAUGGCGCCAGCCGUGAGGGAGCCGGUGUUGGGAUACCACCCCUGCAGUACUGGGUUUCUAACCUGCGCCCGUGACCCGGGCGGGGGACAAUGUCAGGCGGGGAGUUUGACUGGGGCGGUCGCCUCCGAAAGGGUAUCGGAGGCGCUCAAAGGUUCCCUCAGAAUGGUUGGAAACCAUUCGAAGAGUGCAAAGGCAGAAGGGAGCUUGACUGCGACACCGACGGGUGGAGCAGGU
rnacentral:rRNA from 1 species